UACGUAGGGUGCAAGCGUUGUCCGGAAUUAUUGGGCGUAAAGAGCUUGUAGGCGGUUUGUCGCGUCUGCUGUGAAAUUUCGGGGCUCAACCCCGAACUUGCAGUGGGUACGGGCAGACUAGAGUGUGGUAGGGGAGACUGGAAUUCCUGGUGUAGCGGUGAAAUGCGCAGAUAUCAGGAGGAACACCGAUGGCGAAGGCAGGUCUCUGGGCCGGCACUGACGCUGAGGAGCGAAAGCGUGGGGAGCGAACAGG
rnacentral:rRNA from 1 species